AACGCGUGGGAAAUCUACCCUUGAAUUGGGGAUAACACUCCUAACGGGGUGCUAAUACCGAAUGAGACCACAGGGUCGCAUGGCCCGGAGGUUAAAGGUGGCCUCUACAUGUAAGCUACCGAUCGAGGAUGAUCCCGCGUCCCAUUAGUUUGUUGGUGGGGUAAUGGCCUACCAAGGCGACGAUGGGUAGCUGGUCUGAGAGGAUGGUCAGCCACACUGGGACUGAGAUACGGCCCAG
rnacentral:rRNA from 1 species